rnacentral:rRNA from 1 species
UGGGGAAUAUUGCGCAAUGGGGGGAACCCUGACGCAGCCAUGCCGCGUGAAUGAAGAAGGCCUUCGGGUUGUAAAGUUCUUUCGGUAUUGAGGAAGGUUGAUGUGUUAAUAGCACAUCAAAUUGACGUUAAAUACAGAAGAAGCACCGGCUAACUCCGUGCCAGCAGCCGCGGUAAUACGGAGGGUGCGAGCGUUAAUCGGAAUAACUGGGCGUAAAGGGCACGCAGGCGGUUAUUUAAGUGAGGUGUGAAAGCCCUGGGCUUAACCUAGGAAUUGCAUUUCAGACUGGGUAACUAGAGUACUUUAGGGAGGGGUAGAAUUCCACGUGUAGCGGUGAAAUGCGUAGAGAUGUGGAGGAAUACCGAAGGCGAAGGCAGCCUCUUGGGAAUGUACUGACGCUCAUGUGCGAAAGCGUGGGGAGCAAACAGGAUUAGAUACCCUGGUAGUCCACGCUGUAAACGCUGUCGAUUUGGGGAUUGGGCUUAGAGCUUGGUGCCCGUAGCUAACGUGAUAAAUCGACCGCCUGGGGAGUACGGCCGCAAGGUUA